rnacentral:rRNA from 1 species
AUACGUAGGUGACAAGCGUUAUCCGGAUUUACUGGGCGUAAAGGGCGUGUAGGCGGUCUUGCAAGUCAGAAGUGAAAUUCCUGAGCUCAACUCGGGCGCUGCUUCUGAAACUGCAGGACUUGAGUGCUGGAGGGGAUAGCGGAAUUCCUAGUGGAGCGGUAAAAUGCGCAGAUAUUAGGAAGAACACCGGUGGCGAAGGCGGCUAUCUGGACGGUAACUGACGCUGAGGCGCGAAAGCGUGGGGAGCAAACAGGAUUAUUUACCCUGGUAGUCCACGCUGUAAACGAUGAAUACUAGGUGUAGGGGGUAUCGACUCCCUCUGUGCCGCAGUUAACACAAUAAGUAUUCCGCCUGGGGAGUACGGCCGCAAGGUUGAAACUCAAAGGAAUUGACGGGG